UACGGAGGGUGCGAGCGUUGUUCGGAAUUACUGGGCGUAAAGCGCGUGUAGGCGGAUUCAGAAGUCGGGUGUGAAAGCCCUGGGCUUAACCCAGGAAGUGCGCCCGAAACCAUGAGUCUUGAGGUCCGGAGGGGAUCGGGGAAUUCCCAGUGUAGAGGUGAAAUUCGUAGAUAUUGGGAGGAACACCGGUGGCGAAGGCGCCGAUCUGGACGGAUUCUGACGCUGAGACGCGAAAGCGUGGGUAGCAAACAGG
rnacentral:rRNA from 1 species